rnacentral:rRNA from 1 species
GAUGAACGCUGGCGGCGUGCCUAAUACAUGCAAGUCGAGCGAACGGACGAGAAGCUUGCUUCUCUGAUGUUAGCGGCGGACGGGUGAGUAACACGUGGAUAACCUACCUAUAAGACUGGGAUAACUUCGGGAAACCGUAGCUAAUACCGGAUAAUAUUUUGAACCGCAUGGUUCAAAAGUGAAAGACGGUCUUGCUGUCACUUAUAGAUGGAUCCGCGCUGCAUUAGCUAUUUGGUAAGGUAACGGCUUACCAAGGCAACGAUGCAUAGCCGACCUGAGAGGGUGAUCGGCCACACUGGAACUGAGACACGGUCCAGACUCCUACGGGAGGCAGCAGUAGGGAAUCUUCCGCAAUGGGCGAAAGCCUGACGGAGCAACGCCGCGUGAGUGAUGAAGGUCUUCGGAUCGUAAAACUCUGUUAUUAGGGAAGAACAUAUGUGUAAGUAACUGUGCACAUCUUGACGGUACCUAAUCAGAAAGCCACGGCUAACUACGUG